GACGUAGGGCGCGAGCGUUGUCCGGAUUUAUUGGGCGUAAAGAGCUCGUAGGCGGCUUGUCGCGUCGACUGUGAAAUCCCGCGGCUCAACCGCGGGUCUGCAGUCGAUACGGGCAGGCUAGAGUUCGGUAGGGGAGACUGGAAUUCCUGGUGUAGCGGUGAAAUGCGUAGAUAUCUGGAGGAACACCGGUGGCGAAGGCGGCAUCCUGGACCAACACUGACGCUGAGGAGCGAAAGCGUGGGGAGCAAACAGG
rnacentral:rRNA from 1 species